UGACCGUGCAAAGGUAGCGUAAUCACCUGUCUUUUAAAUAAAGACCUGUAUGAAUGGCAAGACGAGGGUUUUACUGUCUCCUCCCCCCAGUCAAUGAAAUUGAUCUACCCGUGCAGAAGCGGGUAUAAAAACAUAAGACGAGAAGACCCUAUGGAGCUUUAGGCAUAUAUCAAAUAUGUAAAAAACCAAAUUUUUCCAAAUAGGCCUAAAAAAUGAGAAAAACAAGUAUUAAUGAUUAAGUGCCUUCGGUUGGGGCGACCACGGGGAAAAAUAAAACCCCCACAUGGAAUGGGAAAAAUAACCCUAAGCCAAGAAAAACACUUCUAAGCAACAAAAUUUUUGACCAAUAAACGACCCAGGGACACCAUCCCUGAGCAAUGAACCAAGUUACCCUAGGGAUAACAGCGCAAUCCUUUCCCAGAGCCCAUAUCAACGAAAGGGUUUACGACCUCGAUGUUGGAUCAGGGCAUCCUAACGGUGCAGCCGC
rnacentral:rRNA from 1 species